rnacentral:rRNA from 1 species
UACAGAGGGUGCGAGCGUUAAUCGGAAUUACUGGGCGUAAAGCGUGCGUAGACGGUCGCGUAAGUCAGAUGUGAAAGCCCCGGGCUCAACCUGGGAACUGCAUUUGAGACUGCUCUGCUCGGGUGCGGAAGAGGGAAGCGGAAUUUCCGGUGUAGCGGUGAAAUGCGUAGAUAUCGGAAGGAACACCGGUGGCGAAGGCGGGUCUCUGGGAAGUAACUGACGCUGAGAAGCGAAAGCAUGGGUAGCAAACAGG